rnacentral:rRNA from 1 species
GACGAACCGUGCAAACGUUGUUCGGAAUCACUGGGCUUAAAGGGCGCGUAGGCGGGCUGUCAAGUCAGGGGUGAAAUCUUUCGGCUUAACCGGAAAACUGCCUUUGAUACUGACAGUCUCGAGGGAGGUAGGGGCAUGUGGAACUUCCGGUGGAGCGGUGAAAUGCGUUGAUAUCGGAAGGAACGCCGGUGGCGAAAGCGACGUGCUGGACCUCUUCUGACGCUGAGGCGCGAAAGCUAGGGGAGCGAACGGGAUUAGAAACCCCGGU